rnacentral:rRNA from 1 species
GAUGAACGCUGGCGGCGUGCCUAAUACAUGCAAGUCGAGCGAACGGACAAGAAGCUUGCUUUUCUGAUGUUAGCGGCGGACGGGUGAGUAACACGUGGAUAACCUACCUAUAAGACUGGGAUAACUUCGGGAAACCGGAGCUAAUACCGGAUAAUAUUUUGAACCGCAUGGUUCAAAAGUGAAAGACGGUCUUGCUGUCACUUAUAGAUGGAUCCGCGCUGCAUUAGCUAGUUGGUAAGGUAACGGCUUACCAAGGCAACGAUGCAUAGCCGACCUGAGAGGGUGAUCGGCCACACUGGAACUGAGACACGGUCCAGACUCCUACGGGAGGCAGCAGUAGGGAAUCUUCCGCAAUGGGCGAAAGCCUGACGGAGCAACGCCGCGUGAGUGAUGAAGGUCUUCGGAUCGUAAAACUCUGUUAUUAGGGAAGAACAUAUGUGUAAGUAACUGUGCACAUCUUGACGGUACCUAAUCAGAAAGCCACGGCUAACUACGUG